GUAAGGAUGGCCGAGCGGUCUAAGGCGCCAGACUCAAGUUUCAAAACUGGCUUCGCUAAUGCGCAGCCAAACGGCGUUCUGGUCCACUAAUGUGGGCGUGGGUUCGAAUCCCACUCCUGACA
rnacentral:tRNA from 1 species